UACGUAGGGUGCGAGCGUUGUCCGGAAUUACUGGGCGUAAAGAGCUCGUAGGCGGCUUGUCGCGUUGUUCGUGAAAAUUUACCGCUCAACGGUGAACUUGCGGGCGAUACGGGCAGGCUAGAGUACUGCAGGGGAGACUGGAAUUCCUGGUGUAGCGGUGAAAUGCGCAGAUAUCAGGAAGAACACCGGUGGCGAAGGCGGGUCUCUGGGCAGUAACUGACGCUGAGGCGCGAAAGCGUGGGGAGCAAACAGG
rnacentral:rRNA from 1 species